GGAGACAGAGCUUUCCCUUCGGGGACAAAGUGACAGGUGGUGCAUGGUUGUCGUCAGCUCGUGUCGUGAGAUGUUGGGUUAAGUCCCGCAACGAGCGCAACCCUUGAUUUUAGUUGCCAGCAUUUAGUUGGGCACUCUAAAGUGACUGCCGGUGCAAGCCGGAGGAAGGUGGGGAUGACGUCAAAUCAUCAUGCCCCUUAUGACCUGGGCUACACACGUGCUACAAUGGAUAGUACAAAGGGUCGCGAAGCCGCGAGGUGGAGCUAAUCCCAUAAAACUAUUCUCAGUUCGGAUUGUAGGCUGCAACUCGCCUACAUGAAGCCGGAAUCGCUAGUAAUCGUGGAUCAGCAUGCCACGGUGAAUACGUUCCCGGGCCUUGUACACACCGCCCGUCACACCACGAGAGUUUGUAACACCCGAAGUCGGUAGGGUAACCUUUAUGGAGCCAGCCGCCGAAGGUGGGACAGAUAAUUGGGGUGAAGUCGUAACAAGGUAGCCGUAUCGGAAGGUGCGGCUGGAUCACCUCCUUUCUAAGGAA
rnacentral:rRNA from 1 species